UGACUGAGAAGGAAGCAACUAACUCAGAAUCCAAAGGACCAUGUCAACAAACAAGAGUCUUCACCAUUAGAGGGCACCACAAACAUGUGGACAUGAGAGGCUGAGGAACAUGGAGCAGUUGAGCGAAACCAGAGGCUUCCAUCAGAGAUGAGGGACUGCAGCAUGAGCAACUGACCCUGGACAAGGACUACUUAUUGGACGGAGGGCGAGCAUUCCAGCCAGCAAUCAAUAUCAGUAUCUC